ensembl:lncRNA AABR07006542.2
CUUCUACCAUCUUUUCUGCAAGGUGUGGGCCAGAAGUCAUUCCUGUUUUACGAGCUGAGUUUUACUGGAUGCUAUACUCUCAUCCUGACUCCUUUUCCCAGAAGAUAUGAAGGAUCCAGCUCCUCCUGAGUGGAAGUCCCUAGAGGAUAAGGGUUCCUGAGACUGGGCAGCAAUUCUGGGCCGGCUGGCUCCUCCAUGCUUUCGCUGACAAGCUGAAAUGUGAGGGCUGUCUUGCCUCUGGCCUCUUUAGUUUAACCAGCAAAGCUAGGAAAGACAAAAGAAGCAUGUUCGGGGACAAAGAGUCAUCAGAGCAGGGCAGGAUUGGACGUGAC